rnacentral:rRNA from 1 species
GCUACGGGUGGCAGCAGUGAGGAAUAUUGGUCAAUGGGCGCGAGCCUGAACCAGCCAAGUAGCGUUAAGGAUUACUGCCCUACGGGUUGUAAACUUCUUUUAUAAAGGAAUAAAGUGAGGCACGUGUGCCUUUUUGUAUGUACUUUAUGAAUAAAGAUAGCCUACCUCCGUGCCAGCAGCCACGGUAAUACGGAGGAUCCGAGCGUUAUCCGUAUUUAUUGGGUUUUAAGGGAGCGUAGAUGGGUUGUUAAGUCAGUUGUGAAAGUUUGCGGCUCAACCGUAAAAUUGCAAUUGAUACUGGCAGCCUUGAGUACAGGUGAGGUAGGCGGAAUUCGUGGUGUAGCGGUGAAAUGCUUAGAUAUCACGAAGAACUCCGAUUGCGAAGGCAGCCUACUAAACUGCCACUGACAUUGAUGCUCGAAAGUGUGGGUAUCAAACAGGAUUAGAUACCCCGGUAGUC